AUGUUUCUUUUUGUGACUGUUUUUACAGAUCUGUGCUGAGUUUCACAGAGUGACGAAUGUCAACCUAAAAAGAAUCGUUUCUUUGCUCAACUGGACCAACAUACCCCCCGGCUUCAGAGCCUGUUUCGGAAAAAAGCUUCUCGGACAGGAAAAGCUUCUGAACUCCUGGAUCAGCUCUUCAGAAUUUAUGACCUCCAGGAUCAAGUUGAUGUCCAUGUUAGACGUGCUGUGGUACUCCGGGCUCUCCCUCCAUAUAUGCAUGAGAGUGAUGUUAGCUUUUCAAGAUGUGGGACGUGGAGCAGUCUGAUGAACCGAACAUCAAUGAUGUACCACUUGGGCUCCUCCUAAGCAAUCAGACAUCAUCAGAUGCCCAUUUUUUCUGCCCAGAGAGGAUUGCAGUUCUGAUUGAGGGUAACAUUGUUAUUGAGUCCUACACACUGGCUGAUGCAUUCGUCAUUCUAUUUGCACUUACAUACACCCUGCACCUUAACUAUCCAAAACAAUUGCUCAACACAUUUGACUUUGUCCAAAAGGUCUUGAUGGGUCUUGAGGAUGGAAAGUUGAGGCCUAGAGUUUUGAGUCUGAAAAAUGACCUGUUAGCAGUAGUGUAAGCACAUUUGUUUUUCUUGCUGUAAAACAUCUAACAGAUGGGUUUUAUAGAUAUUGUUUCUGAAGUUUUAAUGCGUUAAAGUUGAAUGAAGUCCUGUUUUGUACAUUUUUAUACUUGUGUAAUAUGUUUGUGUAUCUAAUACAUAUAUUUGUAUUGACAAAUAUUCUAAAUGUGUCCUAUGGUGUGACAACAAACAAUGUGGGGGAAAAAAUCAUUUAAAAUAGUUUAAUCUCUUUAAUGGUAUUUGUAACUUUCUCAUGCUAUUUUUUUUAUUGUUAUUUUUUAUAUCUUUGCAAUGUCACACCAUAGGACAUAUUUACAAAUAUAAUACACUCAGGUAAUUUUGAAAUUGUGGAAUGGUGUGGUUGCAAUAGGAAUUUGCACAUAGGGUUAACUGCAAGUUAAAUGAUGGCUUCCUUGCAGCAGAUAAUUGCACACUGCCAUGCUGUUUUGUAUAUUAAACCUCUUACAGAAUUGUUUUAUAUUAUAGUAGUUGUAAUGUAAAUGCUUGUUGAAGGACUGAAUGUUCGCAUAGGAUACUUGCACAUUGGUGUGACAGAGAGAUUCUGUAUCUGUUUACAUUGCAGUGCACAAACUUCAGCUUUAUUUUGUGUAAGUAACAAAACACUAAAGAUAAGCUUUGUAUUAUACUUAUAAUAUUUGUAAUACGUGUUACACUUCAUUCAUCUUUAUUUUAUAAUUUCAAUUUGUUACAGUUAAAUGUUUUAAAUAAUUGUUUUAGAAAACGUAUAGUGAUCCGGAUGUUGAGUGAUGUCGAGGCAAUUUGGAAAGUUUACACAUGGCACAUUCAUGUGUCUUGAGCAUUUUGUAUUUGUUUACAUUGCAAUAAUAUGAGAUAUUUCAAGAACGUCAUAUUUGGUUAAUAAACAAGUUACUUGCA